AGGGAUGCCAGAUUGUGUGAAUCCUCCUCAGAGUUGUUGCCAGGUUGUACAAAUCCUCCUCAAGGUAUUAUAGGCCUCCUUGGAUGAUUUAUUGCACUGCUUGCUCAACCAGUGACACGAAGCUGUCAGAACUACUACUUUGUCAUAACUGCAGCUCUCCGUUGCCAUUUCCAGGGCUGGAGGAUAAAUCACAGCACUACACUAGGAUGAUGAUGAUGAUGUUGUUCUGCAGUAUUAUUUAAGCCAUGCACAAUGAUGCAGUUUCAAUCAGCAACCAUAUGGAAGGAACAGCAUGCUGUGUGAAUCCUGAAUCACUUCCAAAUAAACAAGAGCUAUGCAACGAGUGGAGUAACACAAACCCACAUAUAUGUAGUUGGUUGUUAUUUAAUGCAUAGGCUGGAUGAUGACGUGAUGCUGUGGGACUGAGAUGCAGUUGCAGUGCAUUAACCAGCGGGCGGCUACAGUAGCUGUCUUUUCCUCUGUCUCUCCCACAAGGCAACCCAGGAUAGAAGCCAGGCUUUACGCAUCCCGCAGAACUGCCAGAUCCUAGUGUGUAUGCAUGUGCACACGUCUGCACGUAUGUGUGUGCGUGCCACCCUCCCCUCCUCCUUCCUGCCGGCAUCAUCCCUCGCUCUCCAUCAGGGAUGGUGAGGGAGUGUUUAUGAGCAUGUGCUGCGAAUCACACAGAAUGAUGGAGGACCAACAGCUCCCUGGAUAAACCCUGCAGACUAAAACAACAUCACAACUCAAAUCAUGCACUUAAGGUGAGUCUCAAUCUUCAUGCAUUGAAUUCCUU